rnacentral:rRNA from 1 species
AUUGAACGCUGGCGGCGUGCUUAACACAUGCAAGUCGAGCGGUAACAGGCGUAGCAAUACGUGCUGACGAGCGGCGAACGGGUGAGUAAUGCUUCGGAAUCUUCCUUGUAGUGGGGAAUAACCUGGGGAAACUCAGGCUAAUGCCGCAUACGAACUACGGUUGAAAGCGGGGGAUCGCAAGACCUCGCGCUAUAAGAUGAGCCGAAGUCGGAUUAGCUAGUUGGUAGGGUAACGGCCUACCAAGGCGACGAUCCGUAGCUGGUCUGAGAGGACGACCAGCCACACUGGGACUGAGACACGGCCCAGACUCCUACGGGAGGCUG